rnacentral:rRNA from 1 species
UACGUAGGUGGCGAGCGUUGUCCGGAAUUACUGGGUGUAAAGGGCGUGUAGGCGGGGAUAUAAGUCAGAUGUGAAAUACCAUGGCUUAACUGUGGGGCUGCAUCUGAAACUAUGUUUCUUGAGUGCUGGAGAGGGAAGCGGAAUUCCUAGUGUAGCGGUGAAAUGCGUAGAUAUUAGGAGGAACCCCAGUGGCGAAGGCGGCUUUCUGGACAGUAACUGACGCUGAGGCGCGAAAGCGUGGGGAGCAAACAGG